UACGUAGGGGGCAAGCGUUGUCCGGAAUCAUUGGGCGUAAAGCGCGUGUAGGCGGCUGAGUAAGUCUGCUCUGAAAGCCCGGGGCUCAACCCCGGGAGGCGGGUGGAUACUGCUCAGCUCGAGUCCGGAAGAGGAGUGUGGAAUUCCUGGUGUAGCGGUGGAAUGCGCAGAUAUCAGGAGGAACACCGGUGGCGAAGGCGGGUCUCUGGGCAGUAACUGACGCUGAGGAGCGAAAGCGUGGGGAGCGAACAGG
rnacentral:rRNA from 1 species